GAUAAAGAGAAGCAGCAGGCUGGGGAGUUUCAUUCUCCCGGGCGCGUCCGAGACACUGAGCAGGCGGAGCCCAGCCGUCCUGCUGCUGCUGCAUUUGCCCAUCUCGACCCAGCGGGUCCCCGUCGAAGUCUGAGCAAGAUGAAAUCCCCCCUCGCUUUCCUGCUGCUGCUGCUGCUGGGGUCAGUGCUGCCCACCCCUGUGGAGAUGGUGGAAGAGUCCCUGCUGUAUCCCUAUGGCCCAGCCCAGAGUGACCGGCAGAAUCCCAAAGCCGACGACGGGGCAUCACCGGAGAUCCCCAUCUCCAUGAGCUUCACCUUUUAUGGCAAGGACCAUCACUUCCU